UUGACCUCAAAUCAGGUAGGACUACCCGCUGAACUUAAGCAUAUCAAUAAGCGGAGGAAAAGAAACUAACAAGGAUUCCCCUAGUAACUGCGAGUGAAGCGGGAAAAGCUCAAAUUUAAAAUCUGGUAAUCUUUGGCUGCCCGAGUUGUAAUCU
rnacentral:rRNA from 1 species